rnacentral:lncRNA from 1 species
UGCGUUGUGGCUGGAUUCAGAUUCAUCUGAAAGAAGAGAAGUUUUGAAGGAAUUAAUAUGGAAUUGAAGACGAAAUUGUGGUUGGAAUACGUUUGUUCACCUUCUAAUAUUUUUACUUUCAGACGACAAUAUGUUUGAUGAAGGAGAAGCUAAAAGAACGAUGAUGACUAUUGGUAUUUGAAGAACAUGUCUUUGGGCUGCUAUGGAUUGGGUUUAGGUUAAUAUUACGUAAGACCAUUAAAGAAACUCUAAAUAUUUUUUACUUGUGGGACCCAUAUGUGCUGAGGUGGACAGCUUUAGGAGAAAACAAAAUAUCCUAUUAUAAUAUAGACUAGCGCUGAGUCUUUAUUAAUAGUUUAGUUUAGUUUUAACUUUCAAAACAAUUAUUUAAUUAAUUUAUACAAUUUUUUUUAUCUGAAAUAGGAUUUUAUUUUAUUUUUUUAUUUAUGUUUAUUUAUAACUAUACCCUCUUAUUAGCUAUUAGCUAUUUGUUUUUAUAAAUGUAGUAAUUAUGUUUUUAAAAAUAUUCACAAUUUUGAAAAAUGUUAAUUUGUAUUUAAAAUAUUAUAUAAAUUGCUUGAUGCAUGAAAACUGUAAAUACAUUAUAAUAUUUUAUCAAAUAUUUUACAUAUAUUAUAUCGUUUUAGUUUGUUGAUUAUAAUACUUAGAUAGUAU